CCUACGGGUGGCAGCAGUGAGGAAUAUUGGUCAAUGGACGAGAGUCUGAACCAGCCAAGUAGCGUGAAGGAUGACUGCCCUAUGGGUUGUAAACUUCUUUUAUAUGGGAAUAAAACAGGGUAUGCAUACCCUCUUGUAGGUACCAUAUGAAUAAGGAUCGGCUAACUCCGUGCCAGCAGCCGCGGUAAUAAGGAGGGUCCGGGCGUUAUCCGGAUUUAUUGGGUUUAAAGGGAGCGGAGGGGGAUAGUUAAGUGAGUUGUGAAAGUUUGCGGCUCAACCGUAAAAUUGCAGUUGAAACUGGCGGUCUUGAGUGCGGGAGAGGUAGGCGGAAUUCGUGGUGUAGCGGUGAAAUGCUUAGAUAUCACGAAGAACUCCGAUUGCGAAGGCAGCACACUGGAGCGCAACUGACACUGAUGCUCGAAAGUGUGGGUAUCGAACAGGAUUAGAUACCCGUGUAGUC
rnacentral:rRNA from 1 species